GAACGAACGCUGGCGGCGUGCUUAACACAUGCAAGUCGAACGCGAAAGGGACUUCGGUCCUGAGUAAAGUGGCGGCACGGGUGAGUAACGCGUAGAUAACCUGUCUUCAUGUCUGGAAUAAUACGCCGAAAGGGGUACUAAUACCGGAUAUUCUUGCUUUUCAUAAGUUAUGCAAGCAAAGGUGGCCUCUGCAUAUGCUACUGCAUGAAGAGGGGUCUGCGUACCAUUAGCUAGUAGGUGGGGUAAUGGCCCACCUAGGCGACGAUGGUUAGCGGGUCUGAGAGGAUGAUCCGCCACACUGGCACUGGAACACGGGCCAGACUCCUACGGGAGGCAGCAGUGAGGAAUAUUGCGCAAUGGGGGAAACCCUGACGCAGCGACGCCGCGUGAAGUGAGGAAGGCCUUCGGGUCGUAAAGCUCCGUCAAGAGGAAAGAAGUGUACAAUGGCUAAUACCUGUUGUAUUUGACGGUACCUCUAAAGGAAGCACCGGCUAACUCCGUGCCAGCCGCCGC
rnacentral:rRNA from 1 species